GAGCAACCUGCCCUUCACUCUGGGAUAAGCGCUGGAAACGGUGUCUAAUACUGGAUAUGCACAAUGGCCGCAUGGUCUGUUGUGGGAAAGAUUUAUCGGUGAAGGAUGGGCUCGCGGCCUAUCAGCUUGUUGGUGAGGUAGUGGCUCACCAAGGCGACGACGGGUAGCCGGCCUGAGAGGGUGACCGGCCACACUGGGACUGAGACACGGCCCAGACUCCUACGGGAGGCAGCAGUGGGGAAUAUUGCACAAUGGGCGAAAGCCUGAUGCAGCAACGCCGCGUGAGGGAUGACGGCCUUCGGGUUGUAAACCUCUUUUAGUAGGGAAGAAGCGCAAGUGACGGUACCUGCAGAAAAAGCACCGGCUAACUACGUGCCAGCAGCCGCGGUAAUACGUAGGGUGCAAGCGUUGUCCGGAAUUAUUGGGCGUAAAGAGCUCGUAGGCGGCUUGUCGCGUCUGCUGUGAAAACCCGAGGCUCAACCUCGGGCCUGCAGUGGGUACGGGCAAGCUAGAGUGCGGUAGGGGAGAUUGGAAUUCCUGGUGUAGCGGUGGAAUGCGCAGAUAUCAGGAGGAACACCGAUGGCGAAGGCAGAUCUCUGGGCCGUAACUGACGCUGAGGAGCGAAAGCAUGGGGAGCGAACAGGAUUAGAUACCCUGGUAGUCCAUGCCGUAAACGUUGGGAACUAGAUGUAGGGCCUGUUCCACGGGUUCUGUGUCGUAGCUAACGCAUUAAGUUCCCCGCCUGGGGAGUACGGCCGCAAGGCUAAAACUCA
rnacentral:rRNA from 1 species